rnacentral:rRNA from 1 species
AGUGAACGCUGGCGGUAGGCCUAACACAUGCAAGUCGAACGGCAGCACAGUAAGAGCUUGCUCUUACGGGUGGCGAGUGGCGGACGGGUGAGGAGUACAUCGGAAUCUACUUUUUCGUGGGGGAUAACGUAGGGAAACUUACGCUAAUACCGCAUACGACCUACGGGUGAAAGCAGGGGAUCUUCGGACCUUGCGCGGUUGAAUGAGCCGAUGUCGGAUUAGCUAGUUGGCGGGGUAAAGGCCCACCAAGGCGACGAUCCGUAGCUGGUCUGAGAGGAUGAUCAGCCACACUGGAACUGAGACACGGUCCAGACUCCUACGGGAGGCAGCAGUGGGGAAUAUUGGACAAUGGGCGCAAGCCUGAUCCAGCCAUACCGCGUGGGUGAAGAAGGCCUUCGGGUUGUAAAGCCCUUUUGUUGGGAAAGAAAAGCAGCAGGUUAAUACCCCGCUGUUCUGACGGUACCCAAAGAAUAAGCACCGGCUAACUUCGUG